rnacentral:rRNA from 1 species
GAAGAACCUUACCAGGUCUUGACAUCCUCUGACAAUCCUAGAGAUAGGACGUCCCCUUCGGGGGCAGAGUGACAGGUGGUGCAUGGUUGUCGUCAGCUCGUGUCGUGAGAUGUUGGGUUAAGUCCCGCAACGCGCGCAACCCUUGAUCUUAGUUGCCAGCAUUCAGUUGGGCACUCUAAGGUGACUGCCGGUGACAAACCGGAGGAAGGUGGGGAUGACGUCAAAUCAUCAUGCCCCUUAUGACCUGGGCUACACACGUGCUACAAUGGGCAGAACAAAGGGCAGCGAAACCGUGAGGUUAAGCCAAUCCCACAAAUCUGUUCUCAGUUCGGAUCGCAGUCUGCAACUCGACUGCGUGAAGCUGGAAUCGCUAGUAAUCGCGGAUCAGCAUGCCGCGGUGAAUACGUUCCCGGGCCUUGUACACACCGCCCGUCACACCACGAGAGUUUGUAACACCCGAAGUCGGUGAGGUAACCUUUAUGGAGCCAGCCGCCGAAGGUGGGACAGAUGAUUGGGGUGAAGUCGUAACAAGGUAGCCGUAUCGGAAGGUGCGGCUGGAUCACCUCCUUUCUAAGGA